rnacentral:rRNA from 1 species
UACAGAGGUCUCAACCGUUGUUCGGAUUCAUUGGGCGUAAAGGGUGCGUAGGCGGUCGGGUAAGUCGGAUGUGAAAUCCCAGGGCUCAACCCUGGAACUGCAUUCGAUACUGCCUGGCUAGGGUACUGGAGAGGAGACUGGAAUUUACGGUGUAGCAGUGAAAUGCGUAGAUAUCGUAAGGAAGACCAGUGGCGAAGGCGGGUCUCUGGACAGUUCCUGACGCUGAGGCACGAAGGUCAGGGGAGCAAACGGG